GAUGAACGCUGGCGGCGUGCCUAAUACAUGCAAGUCGAGCGAACAGACGAGGAGCUUGCUCCUCUGACGUUAGCGGCGGACGGGUGAGUAACACGUGGAUAACCUACCUAUAAGACUGGGAUAACUUCGGGAAACCGGAGCUAAUACCGGAUAAUAUAUUGAACCGCAUGGUUCAAUAGUGAAAGACGGUUUUGCUGUCACUUAUAGAUGGAUCCGCGCCGCAUUAGCUAGUUGGUAAGGUAACGGCUUACCAAGGCAACGAUGCGUAGCCGACCUGAGAGGCGGAUCGGCCACACUGGAACUGAGACACGGUCCAGACUCCUACGGGAGGCAGCAGUAGGGAAUCUUCCGCAGUAGGCGAGAGCCUGACGGAGCAACGCCGCGUGAGUGAUGAAGGUCUUCGGAUCGUAAAACUCUGUUAUUAGGGAAGAACAAAUGUGUAAGUAGCUAUGCACGUCUUGACGGUACCUAAUCAGAAAGCCACGGCUAACUACGUG
rnacentral:rRNA from 1 species